rnacentral:lncRNA from 1 species
UUUAAUGAAAUAUGUAGUGCAAUAUCACCAGGUAGGAGAAUCCCAAUCAAGAAGAAGGAUCAUGGAUUUAUCACAGUCCCGUGCACUAUAAAAGGCAGAACUUUCAAGAAGGUACUAAUUGAUUCGGGAGCCAGUGUGAGUCUGAUGCCAUUGUCAAUCUACCAAAGGCUUGGUAUUGGAAAUGUCAGUGAUAUAAGGACAAAUCUGAAAUUUG